UACGGGGGGAGCAAGCGUUGUUCGGAUUUACUGGGCGUAAAGGGCGCGUAGGCGGCCACUGCAAGUCGGUUGUGAAAUCUCCGGGCUUAACCCGGAAAGGUCAAUCGAUACUGCAGGGCUAGAGUGCAGAAGGGGCAACUGGAAUUCUCGGUGUAGCGGUGAAAUGCGUAGAUAUCGAGAGGAACACCUGCGGCGAAGGCGGGUUGCUGGGCUGACACUGACGCUGAGGCGCGAAAGCUAGGGGAGCGAACAGG
rnacentral:rRNA from 1 species